rnacentral:lncRNA from 1 species
GGGCUAAAACAGCCAUUUUUAUAGGGUGUAGGGGGAUUCAAACUUGUCCAAUAGUAACGGUCAGGGAAAAGUGGUCUAUGGGGUUACAGAGAUGAGCUAUGGGGUGAGAGGUAGAAGACAGGAGCUUAUUUUGCUGUCUCAUCAUGACUGAGCAGUUCCUGCUGUAAAGUCUCAGUCCUCCAUGGAGCUCUUGCCAGCUCCAUGGGGUCUGCUGGGGUCUGGCAGGGGUCCCUGCCAGGGCUGGGGGGCACUGGGGGGCACCGUGGGAAUGGGGGCUGGAGUUUUGAACAUCUCUCCCUGUCCCACAGCUGAUGGACCUGAAGCUGACAGUGGACGGGCUGGAGAAGGAGCGGGAUUUCUACUUCAGCAAACUGCGGGACAUCGAGCUCAUCUGCCAGGAGCACGAGAACGAGAACAGCCCCAUCAUCACCGGCAUCGUCAGCGUGCUCUAUGCCACGGAGGAGGGCUUUGCCCCACCGGAGGAUGACGAGCUGGAGGAGCAGCCGCCAGAGGAGCAGGACGAGUACUAGCCCCGGCCCGCGCCCCCUGCGCCCCCCGCGCCGCCCCCAGCACAGACAUCGAGCUCCGAGCCCGCGCCCCGCCCGUCACACGCCACGGGCAGCUCCGGGCUGGGGAAGCACCAUCUCCAUCGGCAGCCGCCAUCCCCGGGCGAGGAGCGCGGCUGCGCCGGGGCUGGGGCUGGGGACGGGCUCUGGCCCCGGCCGGGGCCUGCCCAGCCACCCCCUCCCCGUAUUUAUUUCUGUUGUUCCCCCGGUGCGAGCGAGCGCCGCGUCCCGCCCCGGUGAGAGUGAGAAGGGAGGCCCGGUCCUGGGGGCUGCUCACCUCGCUGGGACCCUCAGGGCCCAGGACCUCCGUGGCACUGCGAGUGCCAGCCUGCUGGAGCGGGAGGCCGCGCAGCAGAGGAGAGAGAAGUGGGUUCAGCUUCCUGCGAAGGUGAAAGGGAGAGCCCAGCCCAGCGCGGCCAUGGCAGCCACGGGGGUCCCGGAGAGGGGGCCGUGCUCAGCACGGCACGGCACGGAACGGAACGGCAGCGCGCCCUCUCCUCUCGCCGGCGGCCCCCGGGAGCCGGGGCUGGGCUGGGUCACCGCCAGGGCUCGCACGCCCGCCCGCCCCGGCUGCCAUGUCCCCGUCGCAUCGCUUGUCUGGUCCAUCACUCCGGUCGCAACGCUGCAUCUGUGUUCGGUUUUAUUUAAAUAAACUCGUGUGGUAACACUGCGUGCCGCGGGUCACUGCGGGGUCCUGCGCUCGCUGCCUGCCCCGGGGCUUCCUCCGUGCUGACAGACCCGCGGCUGGACGGGGCAAGCGGGAGCGCACCCGGGGAGGCUCUGGGACCGCAGCGUGCGAGGAGGGCCGGGAUGAGACAUUGGAUAACCAGGUU